rnacentral:rRNA from 1 species
GAUUAACGCUAGCGGCAGGCCUAACACAUGCAAGUCGAGGGGCAGCACGAUGAAGCUUUCGGGCGGAUUUGGUGGCGACCGGCGGACGGGUGCGUAACGCGUAUGCAACCUACCUAUUACAAGGGGAUAACACCGAGAAAUUGGUACUAAUACCCUAUAUGAUUAUUUAAGGCAUCUUAUAUAAUUGAAAGAUUUAUUGGUAAUAGAUGGGCAUGCGUUGUAUUAGCUAGUUGGUGAGGUAACGGCUCACCAAGGCUACGAUACAUAGGGGGACUGAGAGGUUAACCCCCCACACUGGAACUGAGACACGGUCCAGACUCCUACGGGAGGCAGCAGUGAGGAAUAUUGGUCAAUGGACGGAAGUCUGAACCAGCCAUGCCGCGUGCAGGAUGAAUGCUCUAUGAGUUGUAAACUGCUUUUGUAUGAGAGUAAUAACAGAUACGUGUAUCUGGAUGCAAGUACCAUACGAAUAAGGAUCGGCUAACUCCGUGCCAGCAGCCGCGGUAAUACGGAGGAUCCAAGCGUUAUCCGGAUUUAUUGGGUUUAAAGGGUGCGUAGGCGGUUUGAUAAGUUAGAGGUGAAAUUCCGGAGCUCAACUCCGGCGCCGCCUCUAAUACUGUCGAGCUAGAGAUUAGUUGCAGUAGGCGGAAUGUAUGGUGUAGCGGUGAAAUGCUUAGAUAUCAUACAAAACACCGAUUGCGAAGGCAGCUUACUAAGCUAUAUCUGACGUUGAGGCACGAAAGCGUGGGUAGCGAACAGGAUUAGAUACCCUGGUAGUCCACGCAGUAAACGAUGAUAACUCGUUGUCGGCGAUACACAGUCGGUGACUAAGCGAAAGCGAUAAGUUAUCCACCUGGGGAGUACGUUCGCAAGAAUGAAACUCAAAGGAAUUGACGGGGGCCCGCACAAGCGGAGGAACAUGUGGUUUAAUUCGAUGAUACGCGAGGAACCUUACCCGGGCUUGAAAGUUAGUGACGAUUCUGGAAGCAGGAUUUCCCUUCGGGGCACGAAACUAGGUGCUGCAUGGUUGUCGUCAGCUCGUGCCGUGAGGUGUCGGGUUAAGUCCCAUAACGAGCGCAACCCCUACCGUUAGUUGCCAUCAGGUCAUGCUGGGCACUCUGGCGGGACUGCCGGUGUAAGCCGAGAGGAAGGUGGGGAUGACGUCAAAUCAGCACGGCCCUUACGUCCGGGGCUACACACGUGUUACAAUGGUAGGUACAGAGAGUCGCGAUCCAGUGAUGGUUAGCUAAUCUCGAAAGCCUAUCUCAGUUCGGAUUGGAGGCUGAAACUCGCCUCCAUGAAGUUGGAUUCGCUAGUAAUCGCGCAUCAGCCAUGGCGCGGUGAAUACGUUCCCGGGCCUUGUACAC